rnacentral:rRNA from 1 species
UGCAUGAUUAGGCAUGCAAGUCGAGGGAACCCCCAAGGGUUAGGGGCAAAGGGUGAGUAACACGUAAGUAAUUUUCCUUUAAGGCGGGGAUAGCAUCGUGAAAACGGUGGUAAUACCCGAUAAUAUGAGUGAUCCGCAUGGAUUUCUCAUUAAAGAUGGGGACCGUAAGGCCUGUCACUUAGAGAUGAGCUUGCGUACCAUCAGCUAGUUGGUAGGGUAUCGGCCUACCAAGGCUAAGACGGUUAGCUGGUCUGAGAGGACGACCAGCCACAUUGGGACUGAGACACUGCCCAGACUCCUACGGGAGGCUGCAGUCGAGAAUAUUUAGCAAUGGACGAAAGUCUGACUAUGCGACGCCGCGUGCAGGAUGAAGGUCUUCGGAUUGUAAACUGCUUUUGUUAGGGGAGAAACCUGUGUCAUUAAUAGUGAUACAGCUGACGGUACCUGACGAAUAAGCCACGGCAAACUCCGUGCCAGCAGCCGCGGUAAUACGGAGGUGGCAAGCGUUACUCGGAAUUAUUGGGUGUAAAGGGCAGGUAGGUGGUCUUGUAAGUGGGGGGUGAAAUCCUGCGGUUCAAUCGCAGAACUGCCUUCCAAACUGCUUGACUUGAGAGUGUUAGGGGAGAAUGGAAUUCCCGGUGUAAGGGUGAAAUCUGUAGAUAUCGGGAAGAACACCAACAGCGAAGGCAAUUCUCUGGGACAUUUCUGACACUGAACUGCGAAAGCUAGGGGAGCAAACAGAAUUAGAUACUCUGGUAGUCCUAGCCGUAAACGAUGAAUACUAGGUGUUGGUCCUUUCGGGGAUCAGUGCCGAAGCUAACGCAUUAAGUAUUCCACCUGGGGACUACGAUCGCAAGGUUAAAACUCAAAGGAAUUGACGGGGGCUCACAC